rnacentral:rRNA from 1 species
UACGUAGGGGGGCAAGCGUUUGUCCGGAAUCAUUGGGCGUAAAGCGCGUGUAGGCGGCUCGGUAAGUCUGCUCUGAAAGUCCAAGGCUCAACCUUGGGAUGCGGGUGGAUACUGCCGGGCUCGAGUCCGGAAGAGGCGAGUGGAAUUCCUGGUGUAGCGGUGAAAUGCGCAGAUAUCAGGAGGAACACCAAUAGCGAAGGCAGCUCGCUGGGACGUGACUGACGCUGAGACGCGAAAGCGUGGGGAGCAAGCAGGAU